GCCAGUGUGGUGUAAUGGUUUGAAUGUUGGACUAUGAUUCUGGAGACUAGGGUUUGAUUUCCAGCUCGGUCA